CAGCAGCCACGGUAACACGUAGGGUGCGAGCGUUAAUCGGAAUUACUGGGCGUAAAGCGUGCGCAGGCGGUUCGUUAAGACAGAUGUGAAAUCCCCGGGCUUAACCUGGGAACUGCAUUUGUGACUGGCGAGCUAGAGUAUGGCAGAGGGGGGUAGAAUUCCACGUGUAGCAGUGAAAUGCGUAGAGAUGUGGAGGAAUACCGAUGGCGAAGGCAGCCCCCUGGGCCAAUACUGACGCUCAUGCACGAAAGCGUGGGGAGCAAACAGGAUUAGAUACCCCAGUAGUCCCUGUCUCUUAUAC
rnacentral:rRNA from 1 species